rnacentral:rRNA from 1 species
GAUGAACGCUGGCGGCGUGCUUAACACAUGCAAGUCGAACGGAAAGGCCCAAGCUUGCUUGGGUACUCGAGUGGCGAACGGGUGAGUAACACGUGGGUGAUCUGCCCUGCACUUCGGGAUAAGCCUGGGAAACUGGGUCUAAUACCGGAUAGGACCACUUCUUGGAUGUUGUGGUGGAAAGUUUUUUCGGUGUGGAAUGAGCUCGCGGCCUAUCAGCUUGUUGGUGGGGUAAUGGCCUACCAAGGCGUCGACGGGUAGCCGGCCUGAGAGGGUGUACGGCCACAUUGGGACUGAGAUACGGCCCAGACUCCUACGGGAGGCAGCAGUGGGGAAUAUUGCACAAUGGGCGCAAGCCUGAUGCAGCGACGCCGCGUGGGGGAUGACGGCCUUCGGGUUGUAAACUCCUUUCGCUAGGGACGAAGCGUUUUGUGACGGUACCUGGAGAAGAAGCACCGGCUAACUACGUG